GGCAAAUCCGUUUCCCAUAAGGCUGAGCUGUGAUGGCGAGCGAAAUAUAGUAGCGAAGUUCCUGAUUCCACACUGCCAAGAAAAGCCUCUAGCGAGGUGAGAGGUGCCCGUACCGCAAACCGACACAGGUAGGCGAGGAGAGAAUCCUAAGGUGAUCGAGAGAACUCUCGUUAAGGAACUCGGCAAAAUGACCCCGUAACUUCGGGAGAAGGGGUGCUCUGUUAGGGUGCAAGCCCGAGAGAGCCGCAGUGAAUAGGCCCAGGCGACUGUUUAGCAAAAACACAGGUCUCUGCGAAGCCGUAAGGCGAAGUAUAGGGGCUGACGCCUGCCCGGUGCUGGAAGGUUAAGAGGAGCGCUUAGCGUAAGCGAAGGUGCGAAUUGAAGCCCCAGUAAACGGCGGCCGUAACUAUAACGGUCCUAAGGUAGCGAAAUUCCUUGUCGGGUAAGUUCCGACCUGCACGAAUGGCGUAAUGAUGGCCAGGCUGUCUCCACCCGAGACUCAGUGAAAUUGAACUCGCUGUGAAGAUGCAGUGUACCCGCGGCAAGACGGAAAGACCCCGUGAACCUUUACUAUAGCUUGACACUGAACAUUGAGCCUUGAUGUGUAGGAUAGGUGGGAGGCUUAGAAGUGUGGACGCCAGUCUGCAUGGAGCCGACCUUGAAAUACCACCCUUUAAUGUUUGAUGUUCUAACGUUGACCCGUAAUCCGGGUUGCGGACAGUGUCUGGUGGGUAGUUUGACUGGGGCGGUCUCCUCCUAAAGAGUAACGGAGGAGCACGAAGGUUGGCUAAUCCUGGUCGGACAUCAGGAGGUUAGUGCAAUGGCAUAAGCCAGCUUGACUGCGAGCGUGACGGCGCGAGCAGGUGCGAAAGCAGGUCAUAGUGAUCCGGUGGUUCUGAAUGGAAGGGCCAUCGCUCAACGGAUAAAAGGUACUCCGGGGAUAACAGGCUGAUACCGCCCAAGAGUUCAUAUCGACGGCGGUGUUUGGCACCUCGAUGUCGGCUCAUCUCAUCCUGGGGCUGUAGCCGGUCCCAAGGGUAUGGCUGUUCGCCAUUUAAAGAGGUACGUGAGCUGGGUUUAAAACGUCGUGAGACAGUUUGGUCCCUAUCUUCCGUGGGCGCUGCAAGAUUGAGAGAGCCUGCUCCUAGUACGAGAGGACCGGAGUGGACGUACCGCUGGUGUACCUGUUGUCUCGCCAGAGGCAUCGCAGGGUAGCUAUGUACGGAAGAGAUAACCGCUGAAAGCAUCUAAGCGGGAAGCCU
rnacentral:rRNA from 1 species